GUUUAACCGAUGGGGUGACACAGAAGGAUAGGGAAUCGCACGAAUGGAAAUGUGCGUCCAAGCAGUGAGUGUGAGAAGUAGGCAAAUCCGCUUCUCGCGAAGCAUGAGCUGUGAUGGGGAAGGAAAUUAAGUACGGAAGUUCCUGAUUUCACGCUGUCAAGAAAAGCCUCUAGGAAGAGUAGUACUGCCCGUACCGCAAACCGACACAGGUAGAUGAGGAGAGAAUCCUAAGGUGAGCGAGAGAACUCUCGUUAAGGAACUCGGCAAAAUGACCCCGUAACUUCGGGAGAAGGGGUGCUCUAUUAGGGUGCAAGCCCGAGAGAGCCGCAGUGAAUAGGCCCAGGCGACUGUUUAGCAAAAACACAGGUCUCUGCAAAACCGUAAGGUGACGUAUAGGGGCUGACGCCUGCCCGGUGCUGGAAGGUUAAGAGGAGUGCUUAGCUUCGGCGAAGGUACGAAUUGAAGCCCCAGUAAACGGCGGCCGUAACUAUAACGGUCCUAAGGUAGCGAAAUUCCUUGUCGGGUAAGUUCCGACCCGCACGAAAGGCGCAACGAUCUGGGCACUGUCUCAACGAGAGACUCGGUGAAAUUAUAGUACCUGUGAAGAUGCAGGUUACCCGCGACAGGACGGAAAGACCCCGUGGAGCUUUACUGCAACCUGAUAUGGAAUGUUUGUACCGCUUGUACAGGAUAGGUAGGAGCCGAAGAGACGUGUGCGCUAGCAUACGAGGAGGCAAUGGUGGGAUACUACCCUGGCUGUAUGACCAUUCUAACCCGCCACGCUUAGCGCGUGGGGAGACAGUGUCAGGUGGGCAGUUUGACUGGGGCGGUCGCCUCCUAAAGAGUAACGGAGGCGCCCAAAGGUUCCCUC
rnacentral:rRNA from 1 species